CCUACGGGAGGCAGCAGUGGGGAAUAUUGCACAAUGGGGGGAACCCUGAUGCAGCGACGCCGCGUGGGUGAAGGAGUAUUUCGGUAUGUAAAGCCCUAUCAGCAGGGAAGAACAAUGACGGUACCUGACUAAGAAGCACCGGCUAAAUACGUGCCAGCAGCCGCGGUAAUACGUAUGGUGCAAGCGUUAUCCGGAUUUACUGGGUGGAAAGGGAGCGCAGGCGGCGCGUUAAGCCUGGUGUGAAAGCCCGCGGCCCAACCGCGGGACUGCAUUGGGAACUGGCGCGCUGGAGUGCCGGAGGGGUAGGCGGAAUUCCUAGUGUAGCGGUGAAAUGCGUAGAUAUUAGGAGGAACACCAGUGGUGAAGGCAGCUUACUAAACUGCCACUGACAUUGAUGCUCGAAAGUGUGGGUAUCAAACAGGAUUAGAUACCCUAGUAGUC
rnacentral:rRNA from 1 species